GAGCCACAAAUUCUGACAGUGGUAUCAGAGCCACAAAUUCUAACCGGAGCUAUCAAUUAUCAGAAACUCCUCUGUUCUAAUACAAAACACCUCCUCUGUUUUUAACUACUCUACCAUCUCCUCUUUUUCAAACUAUACUCUUUCUACCAGACUCUUGCUCCUAAAACUGAAGUCCUAAACCCAUUGUCCUAUCCCACUACUUCUAAAGCUUCCACACCAAAUUACAAAAGUGGUAUCAAAGCGACAAAUUCUAACACUUGCUCUUCUUACCGAUUGUCCAUCUUCAUUUCUCAAAUCUAAACCACUGCAUCCAUAGCCCUUUACUCCAAUGAAGGCAUCGUCAUCAUCCUCAUCGCUUCCAUCGGGGACACCAUCCUCAAGGCCACCGGAGUUCCCUGACUACACGUACGACGUGUUCUUGAGCUUCAGAGGUGAAGACACACGGAGGACCUUCACGGACCACCUGUACGCGGCACUAGUUCGUGCCGGAGUCAGGACGUUUAGGGAUGCCGAGGGACUAAGAAGGGGAGAAAACAUAGCGGAGGAUUUGGUGGAGAUAAUCCAAGGGUGUAGGAUCUCACUCAUCGUCUUCUCAGAAAAUUACGCGGAUUCGAGUUGGUGUCUCGAGGAGCUGGUGCAGAUCAUGGAGUGUAGAAAAACACAAAGGCAACGGGUUUUCCCAAUAUUCUAUCAUGUCGAUCCUUCACAUGUCAGAAACCAGACCGGUAUCUUUGCUCAUGCGUUUGAGAGACAUGAAGCCACAGUACAUCAAGGUAGAGAUAAGAUAGCAAGGUGGAGAGCUGCUCUUAGAGGAGCGGCGAAUUUGGCUGGCUUCGAUAUUGCUGAUAGGCAUGAAGCAGAGUUUAUCAAUAGCAUUGUUGACGAGAUAUGCAGACAGCUGACCACCCCAUACUUGAAUUUAGCUGUCCAUCCAGUUGGAAUAGAUUCUCGUGUUAAAGAUAUUGGUGAAUAUUUACGUUUUAGAUUAGAUAAUGCUGUUUACAUGGUUGGAAUUUGGGGUAUGGGUGGAAUCGGCAAAACAACAGUUGCCAAAGCCAUCUAUAACAAAUUUUAUCAUGACUUUGACAGUAGAAGUUUCCUAGCAGAUGUUAGGGAAACAGCAAAGGACCUAAGUGGUAAGAUUGCACUGCAAGAAAGACUUCUUUCUGAUGUCUUAAAACCAACCAUGAUAAGGGUGGGUGAUGUUUCCAAAGGCAUCAAUGUGAUCAGAGAACGACUUAGAAGCAAAAAGGUACUUGUCAUCGUUGACAAUGUCGAUCGUCUGGAACAAUUGAAUGCAUUGGCAAUAAGCCGUGAUUCCUUUGGUCUGGGAAGUAUAAUUAUUAUAACAACAAGAGAUCGACAUUUGUUACAACAAGUGAGAGCGGAUAAAAUACAUCUGACACAAGAAAUGAAUGAAGAAGAAGCUCUUGAACUCUUCAGUUGGCAUGCCUUUCAAAAUUAUUCUCCUAAGGAAGACUAUAUCGAACUCUCAAGAAGAGUGGUUACUUACUGUGGAGGUUUACCGCUGGCUCUUGAAGUUUUAGGGUCUUUCCUCUUUGGAAGGAGCAUAGGAGAUUGGAAUAGCACGCUGAAGAAAUUGGAAAAAAUUCCUGAUGGCACAAUUCAGUCAAAGCUCAGAAUAAGCUUUGAUGCACUUGAGGAGAGGCAGAGGCACAUAUUCCUCCACAUAUGUUGUUUCUUCAUUGGAAUGGACAAAAACCAUGUCAUAAAAAUACUCAAGGGCUGUAGUUUUUCUCCAGAAAUAGAAAUCAGUGUCCUCUCUGAACGUUGCCUCGUAACUGUUAAUGAAAAAGACAAGCUAAUGAUGCAUGAUUUGCUUCGAGACAUGGGCAGAGAAAUUGUUCGUGAAGAAUCCCCGAACCACCCUGAAAGACGUAGUAGAUUGUGGCGUCAGGAAGAUGUAAUAGAAGUUAUGAAAGAUAAAUCUGGAACUGAAGAGACUGAAGGACUCGCUCUAAACUUGCAAAGAUCUGAUAACAUGAGUUUCAGUACAGAAGCAUUUAGAAAAAUGAAGAGAUUGAAAUUGCUCCAUCUCAACUAUGUACAACUCACAGGAGACUGCAACGAGUUCUCGAAAAAGUUAAGAUGGCUCUGCCUGCGAGGAUUCUCUCGACAAGUCAUACGAAAUGAGUUUCUUAAUGAACCACACCUGGUUUCUAUCGACCUGCGGUACAGCAAUCUCGUACGAGUUUGGGAGAAUUCCAGGCGGCUUGGGAAAUUGGAGAUACUUAAUCUCAGUCAUUCACAUUACCUAAGACAAUCACCAGACUUUUCGCAACUCCCAAAUCUACAGUAUGUGAUCCUUAAAGACUGUGUGAGUUUGCCAAAGAUUGACAAGUCCAUUGGACUUCUUUCUCGACUUGUCUUGCUAAAUCUUAAAGGCUGCACAAUGCUUAAGAACCUUCCGGAGGAUUUUUACAAGUUGCUCUCUCUUAGGACUCUUGUUCUUUCUGGCUGUUCGAGAUUUGAGAAUUUGAGCAAGGAUAUCGGAAAUAUGAUUUCAUUGAGAACUCUUGUUAUAUUUGGUACAGGCAUAAGUAAAAUACCAUCCUCUGUAGAUUGCCUUCGGAACCUGGACUUUUCAUCUCGACAAGGCCUGAGUGGACUAGAACGAUGUGAUCAGACAUCAAGCCCUUGGCUGAGUUUGUGGCGGUUUUUAUACAAAUUUCGUUUGUGGUUUUUAAAAUUUGCUAUUUUGGUUGUUCAGUAUUUGGUAUUGUCCAUAUUGAAGCCCAGUAGCUCCACCCGAAGUACUCCCCACUCCCGACUCCAGAACUCGACUACGGCCUAUUCGAACUCGAGAAUCGUCUCUCCUCCUCUCGGCUUCUGCGGCUCUGCCCUUCUCCACUUCUCUCAGAGAUCAAGUCGUAUCUACUUCUCUGACUUUCCCUCUUCAAUUUGGGGCAAUGAAUUCAAUUGGAUUGAAGAUUUCGUGGAAUGAAGAGGGAUAGCUGCUGCUGUGCUAUCCACAACCAUGAUCUCGCCGACUCAUCUCACUCUCAAAUUUCAGCUCAAACGGUGACUACUCACCACGCCAUUCAAAACUCAGAAUAUCAACAAUAGAUCAUUUCAUUUGUGGGUUUGAUUUUCAUCUUAUAAAUAGGUCUUUGUUUGGUACCAAUUUGGUUGUUCAUGACCUAGUUGCUCUUCGAGCAUUGUGCAAUAAUGCUUUGAUCAGCUGUGAAAGUAUG